UACGUAGGGUGCAAGCGUUAAUCGGAAUUACUGGGCGUAAAGCGCGCGUAGGCGGUGAUCUUUGUCAGAGGUGAAAUCCCGGGGCUCAACUCCGGAAUUGCCUUUGAAACGGGAUCGCUUGAGUCCGAGAGAGGAUGGCGGAAUUCCUAGUGUAGAGGUGAAAUUCGUAGAUAUUAGGAAGAACACCGGUGGCGAAGGCGGCCAUCUGGCUCGGUACUGACGCUCAGGCGCGAAAGCGUGGGGAGCAAACAGG
rnacentral:rRNA from 1 species